GUCAGUGUGGCCGAGUGGUUAAGGCGUGUGACUUGAAUUUGCCGCACCAGACGCCCCUACUAAAGGAAGUGAAUGCUCUCUUGGGGGUGCGACCGGCGACGGCCUUUUGAGAUCACAUCUCUUCGGAGGCAUAGGUUCGAACCCUAUCGCUGACG